rnacentral:rRNA from 1 species
AAACUAGGAUUAGAUACCCUAUUAGUUUAAUCAAUAUUUGGUAGUAAGUGGUAAUCAUGAAACUAAAAUUAAUUGGCGGCUUUUUAAAUUUUUUAGAGGAAUUUAUUCUAUAAAGGAUUAGACACCAAAAUCUUACUUUUAUUGGUUAACAGUUUGUAUACCUCUAUUUAAAAACAUUUAGAUAUGUUUUGGUUUUCUAUUUUUCAAAAAAUAGUAGUAUUUUAGGUAAAGGUGCAGCUUAUGUAAAAGGUUGAAAUAAAUUAUAUGAAUUAAUAUUUAACAAUAUUUGGACUGUAAUGUUAAGAUAUAGUAAAAUUUAAAAGUAAAAUCUGUAAAUUUUAUAGAUUUGAAUUAGUAUUUAAUUGUGUACAUAUUGCCCGUCACUCUCUUAUUAGAGAUAAGUC